rnacentral:rRNA from 1 species
AGCAGCCGCGGUAAUUCCAGCUCCAGUAGCGUAUAUUAAAGUUGUUGCAGUUAAAAAGCUCGUAGUUGAAUUUCGGGAUUAGUAAGUUGGUCGUGCCUCUGGUAUGUACUGGCUUUACUGGUUCCUCCUUCUUGAAGAACUGUAAUGUCAUUAAUUUGGUGUUGCAGGGAAACAGGACUGUUACUUUGAAAAAAUUAGAGUGUUUAAAGCAGGCUAACGCUUGAAUACAUUAGCAUGGAAUAAUGAAAUAGGACGUUUGAUCCUAUUUUGUUGGUUUCUAGGAUUGACGUAAUGAUUAAUAGAGAUAGUUGGGGGCAUUAGUAUUCAAUUGUCAGAGGUGAAAUUCUUGGAUUUAUUGAAGACUAACUACUGCGAAAGCAUUUGCCAAGGAUGUUUUCAUUAAUCAAGAACGAAAGUUAGGGGAUCGAAGACGAUCAGAUACCGUCGUAGUCUUAACCAUAAACUAUGCCGACUAGGGAUCGGAUGAUGUUAAUUUUUUAAUGACUCAUUCGGCGCCUUA